rnacentral:lncRNA from 1 species
GCCAUUAUUUUUUGUAUUCCUUCGAGUUAGUUUCCUGUGACCUCUCGCCCCUCCUCCUGUCCGUCUUCAUCGGGGUCUUUAGAGCCCUCAUUCGAGGCUACUCGAAAUAUCAUCCGGUUCUUCCGCUCCCUGCAGUUUCGGGAGUUCUUCCGCCUCAAACCCCCAGGUCCCUUGCUCUGUAGACGAACCUGCGUCUGGGGCUGGGCCCCGUCCAGUUUUUGCACCGGGCGCCAUUCCAUGUUCCCU